CCUCUUAGGGCUCAGUGAAACCUCUAAUUUAGUAAUCACCUUACUGACCUCCCAGAAAAUCUGACCUAUGUUUACCGACCUGCUACACAAUCUCAUGCUUGCACACUUUGAUCUUUUGCUUCUUUUGCUGGUGAACAUUUUGGGUUGGCAAAGGCGGGACAAGACCCCAUGAGAUCCAAAACACAGUACAGAGAACCAAAACUGAUACAACUGGAAUUUUUUUUUUUUUUUAUUUGGUCGUUAUACAACUGGAAUUUAGCUACACAAGUGACGUGUUGUUUCAGUGUGAAUUAAAUAAAACAUUUAGGAUGUUAAGAGACGUUACAAAGCGUUGGUACACGAAGUUAGCAUAAUCAUAAACACUUAGGCCGAGGAAAACCAUUCAUUCACAACGCCCACACCCCGCCCCCCCCCCCCGGGGGGCGGGCCCCCUCUUUUUCUUUAUAGCUUUACACGCCAACUGUGACUGAUUUAACAUACCUUUAGCCCAUUACUUGCCAGGCUCUGCCCGCCUGAACACCUCGCAAAUUAAGCUUUCUCAUGGAAUUUCCUUUUAUUAUGCAGAGUGCGCCUGUGUCAUCCUCUUCACGUUCAAAGUCACGACUCUAGGAGUUUUCCUUUUCAUCGGCUGCACCAAUCAAAGAAUAAAUGUUUCUCAUUUGCUUCUUGUAAUUCAAUAUGGAGGCUUGAAAGCAAUAAGGAGUUUGCUUGCCGAAUAUAAGCUAUGCCACAAGCAUUUUCAAGCUUCCAUCUGCUAGUUUAUGUAGUAAAAUGCAUCACUUGUAGAGAUGCAACCAGUGACGAUGUGGACUUAUCUUUUUCAAUCAAUUAGGCAAUGCUAAAUGUAAGCCAUUUCACGGCAUCUACUGCCUGUUAGUAAUUGUCAGUGCUGCCAUUCGAAAGGAAUGUUAAAAAGUGUGUUAAGUAUCGAGUGUUGAAGGUGAAGGUAAACAUCUAUCUGUAAGCAGGACGUUUUACUAUUUUGACUUCAGCGAAUCGAAAGCAAAGGAUUGAUGAACUAUACGAGCAUUUAGUAAUUUGGAGUUUUUCUGUACUUGUACUUGUCCACUUGUUGGGGGAGAAAAUCUCCGCAGUUUGAAAUAUUCGAUUAAGACGUCUGAAAAGCUUGUCUGUUGGUAGUUAAUGAUGGAGUUGAGUAGCAUUGAUCUGUUGACCUUUCUUAAUGGAAAAAACCAUAUAACAUGGAAUGUGUAAGUCAUGACUAGUAUUUUAAAUCCGAAUCCCUCGUUCUCUUUUGAAUGAAAUGUUUUGCAGUAAAAUGGUUUACAAGAUAUAAAUUGUCUGUGUUGGGGUGGACAUGUUGUAAGUACCAAACCUUUGCUCGUGUGCAACCAAAUCGGUUCUAUUUGGAAAUUGGAUUGGUCUGUCCUAAAAAUAGGUUGAGGAGUUGGUUUCCAUUGGAAUAGCUCCAGGAACUUGGAACUGGUUAUAAUCAGUCGAAGAACAGAUUCUGAGUGAAUACUCACUCGGGAAUCGGACUAAACCGCCUUAUAUUGAAACCAGUUUUAUAAGUUUAAAAAGUCAAAACUCUAAUUUUGUUUUCCUCUGAAUUCUCUAAAUUCUUACAUUAGUACUCUUUUUUUUUUCAUCCUUUAUCCUUCCUCAAAACUCCUCAUCAUUUUUUCCUCUUUCUCUAAAUUUUUAUAAUUGAAUGAAGAAAGGGGUUUUAUAAUUUAAGUUUUAUUGUUAUGUGUUUGAGCUUUUCAUUGUUUAUAAUUGUAUUUGAUUACGUACUCAUUUUAUGGAAUAUUAUUUUUGACGGAUUGAAAUUUCUAUUGUUUAUCUUUUACUUUGAAUCAUUUUGUUACUCAUACUUUUAUAUGAUUUAGCUGUAAAGACCAAAAAAAAAAAAAAAAAACUAGUUCUCAAGUAAACCCAACAGGGUAAGUUCCAAAAUUGAUUUCAGAGUCCAAAAACUAAAAACCGACUUACAUAAUAGAUUAUAGGUUUCAGUUUUGAAAUUUACCUAUACUAGGACCGAUCACUCCUACUCCACGGGAAUUGCAACCAUGGCCUAAACUGAACCCCUCAAAAUCCCAAACCGUAGCGCCGAAGACAAUUGUGCCUUUUCAAAAACUUUCUGAAAUUGAGUAUGUACCAAAUAUCAGCAACCGUACGGUCAAUAAAUGAUGGUAGCUUCAAUGAUCAGUGGCUCUACUAUUACCUCCCAGAAAUGGUGGCGGUCCAAGUGAUGACAAUAAAUAGAGAAACAAUUUCUACUCCAUCAAAAGAAAAUUCACUUUUCAGAAUUUAAGCCUUGAGUUUUAAGCUUUUCUCAACGGUUAUCUUCUUGCAAGACAACGAAGCCUUACAAUCAUAAGGUUCCGUUAGACAGAGAGAGAUACUAAAACUACAAAUCCAGUCAUAUGUGAGAAAUUUUAGCUAAAAAAACCCAAAAAAAUGGAUACACAGUAUCUUCAUUCCAUUCUUCUCUUUGAGAUACAAAAGUGUAGGAAAAUUAUCAAAUUAUUCUUAGUUAAAUAAUUGAGUAUAUCUUUACAUUAGAGGGUACAAGUCAGUAUAUCUUUACAUCAGAGGGUACAAGUCAUGUCGCCUCAUGUACAACAAGGUUAUAUCAUGUGCAUCUUCAGUUGCAUUCUCAAUUCUAAUCUUACAAAUCAAAUCAAAACUCAACACUAAAAUCAAGUGAAGUGAAUAAUAUGGCGACGGUAAGCCAUAAUGGAAUCAUGUUGGCACAACUUCUCCAUUGCUUGUGUUCCAUCUGCUUUGCUAGGACUUUCAUCUGUGCACUAUGUUUAAUUGCAUAUCGAUGCCAUAGCAAUCCGUGCUCACUCAUUACAAAACUCUUUUGCUUAAAAACUUUUUUGCUUAAAACUCUCUUCAAAUCUGUUCAACCUUUGGUUGGAUAGACCCAUUCUCAAGAGCACGUGACAUAUUAGAAUUGUUUGUACGAGAAGUGCUAACUGCUGUGGAAACCACCUGAGUCGAUAAAGGUGGUGGAACACUAGUUCUGGCGAUGCUAUUGCUUUCCAACCAUGGUUGAUGUCCUGUGUCAAUUUUUCCAUUUGCACCUCCGUUACAGAUGGGGUCCUUUUGAAGUCCCAAUUCAGUUCUUACUAAUGAGGAAUACUUUGUCUCUGUCACGAAAAUAAUCACUAUGAGAACCUAGUAAUGAGAAGGGUACUCUAUCAAACUGCCAAGCAGGUAGCUUUACAGACACUAACGUAUGGCAGAACAUCCAGAAUCAGAUUAUCAGUUAUUAACUAAGUAUUAGCAAGGACAAAAAACCAGAAGGAUGUGCAAUUCCAUCAUUUCAAAAGAAACAUGAAUUGCUCCAACGUAAUUUCCUCAAUAUCACACGAGCAUGCUAUAGAACUAUGGCAUCGUAUGAUAUAUUUACAAAUCCUAUGACCAAUACUCCAAACCAUUUAUCUAUUGAGAAGUGGAGUGAUAUAGGUUUAAUUGGUUCAAAUACGAAGAAAUGCCUUAUUUCUAACUUCUAGGCAAUAUUACAGUGUAUUAUUCAAAAAUUAUUUGGCAGUCAUAUUUCGAAAUACUUGACUAUGCUACUUUAUAUUGAAACAAUCAAUGACACCAGAUUGUGCACAUUGCAGAAAGUAUGACCUCAACUUUCAAGUUUUUAACUUGAUCGAAAAUAUCAAUCAACUUUUCUAAAUUUUCCCAUUAGCAUUGUGCUUUUUUUCUCUUUGACACCUCCUUUCCAAGCCUAGAAUUAGGCCAAUUGCCCGGAACGCUCGUAGUAGGCUUCCCCAUUGACCUACCUGACUGGUGACAUUGACUAUUCUUGGUAUUUUUUUUUUUAAAUUUCCGCCCGCCACAAGCAUUCUUAAAAUUGUAUUUUAUUUAUCUCUUUCUUUUUUUCUUAUUUUAUUAUUAUUUUUUAAUUUUUGGGGACCGGAUAUUGUUGUUGAAAUGGGGCCCCUCCGACCCAUUUAACCACGUGAUCCACGAAAGCACGAGGUAUCUUAGGGCCUAUUUGGCAACGUGCCAAACAGUGCCAGAUUCUGAUUUUUUGUUUCCAGAAUCAGUUUGGGAUGAGAAUCGCGUUUGGUAAAAUUUUUGUUCCCAAGAACAAUUUUGGACAAGAUUUGAGAAUAAAAAAAAAAAAUUGAUUCUCCGUUCGAGAAUCAGAAAAAGAAUCAAAAUGGUGAAACCCUCGCUCUUCCCUUUCGUCAUCCCGGUUGCCGUUCGCCACCGCCCGCCACCGUCUGUUGCCGCCGCCGUCCACUGCCGAUCGCCUGUCCGGCGAGGUCGCCGAAGGCUCGCCAAGCCAGGGCGAGGUCCGGCGACCUCGCUGGUGGCCAGGCGAGCCUCGCCGGCAGCUGGACGAGGCUCGGCCUUGCCAGAUCGGGCGAGGUCAAGCCUCGUCGGUGGCUGGGCGAGCCUCGCCCAGCUACCGGUGAAGCUCACUUGGCCACCGGCGAGGCUCGGCCUCACCAGAUCUGGCAAGGCCAAGCCUCGGCGAGGCUGAGCGAGCCUCGCCCAGUUGCCAACGAGGCUCGGCCAACGAAGGCCGACCUCACUGAGGGCCGGCGACCGGCCAGACGAAGAAGAAGAAGAAUAGGAAAAAAGGGGAAAAAAAGAAAAGAAAAAAAGGAAAAAGGAAAAGAAAAAAAAAGUAAAAAAAAAUUAAAAUUUAUUUAAAAAUUAAAAUAAAUUAAUUUGGAACAUAAUCAAUUAACACGGUAUCAAACGCAAUUCUAUUCCAGAAUCAAAAAUUUUGAACAGUUACCAAACGCGCUUUUUUAUUCAGAAUCAGUUCCCGGGAACAGAAUAAAAAAUAAUCAUUUCUAGUCAGAAUCAGCUCCCGGGAACAGAAUCGUUACCAAACACACCAUUAGUAUCGGCCCAUCCGACAAUGACAAGGACACGGCACUCGUCCCGACAAAAUGAAUUUGAUUGGAUACCCUGCUCCCAUUGUAUUAUCGUGAGACCCUAUUAAUUGAAAAAAAUAAAAAUAAAAGUAAGUGUUUAAUGGUAUUUAGUCAUCGAUUAUAAUGUUUUAUUUAAUUAAUUUAGGAAUCAGGAGAACUCCAUAAUCAGCUCUAGGGGUUAUCUUUAGGAUUCUUCGAAUGGAAUUACUAGACACCAUGUAAAUCCAUAAUAUAUCAACAAGAUUUUCAUUGCAUAUCGACGAAUAUCAAAUUUUUUUUUCCAUUUAUUAGGUGGAUAUUUUUUAUAAUUACAAAACCUCAGAUACUCUUGACUGACAUAUUUGUCAUGCUUCAGUUAUAAUAUAAUCUUGUUUAGAAAAUAAAGCUAACUUGAUCGAGCGAUUCUACUAGUGCUUAGUUGCAUCAAAAGUCAUAGUUCAUACAAAAUGAUAAAGUAAUUUGGUAUGUGUAGCGGCAUCUAAGAUAAAGCCCAAAUCAUGACCUAUAUUCUUCACAGAUAUUUCGACUCGGUUUAUGAAUUUAUUUUCUGGUCGGAUAUGGCAUGAGAAACUUAAUCAGACCAAAGAUUUCAAGAUAGAAUUUCAUGCAAAGUAUUAAUAUUAUAACUAUUUUCUUUGUACAUGAGACAAAAAGAUCUAAUGUUCAAUGAUUUAAUUUCAGACGAAAAAUGUUCUAAAAAUCGAUUAUGUCUAUUUUAGGAUUUGUUGGCUAUAAAAUCGGAAAUAAAUAUUGAAAAAUUAAAAAACCGACUUUUAAAUUUUGUUAAUAAAUAUAAGAAAUGAAGAUUAUACAAAUUCUUGAUAAAAUAAAUAGAAAUAGACAACCGAAUAUAAUUAAUUUCUAGCCAUAUAUGGAAUCAUAAUCAUAAUCCAUACUUUUUAACAAAGUAACCAGUAGAAUCUCGUUCGCCAUUGAUCACUUCUUAUGUGUUGCGAAACGAAUAUAACUUUGCCGAGUGAUUUGUUCAACUCAAUUGAAUCUAUUAAAUCAACAUCAACAACAAAUGUAAAUAAAGUUCAAUCUGAUUAAAACCGUGGGAUUUAUGUUGUCAUCACUUUCAACACUUUAGUCUUUAUUAAUUACCCAAAAAAGAAGAAAGAAAUUAAAAAAAAAAAAAAAAGGCUGACUCACUAAAUCUAACUCAGUGGACAACUGGACAUCUGUUCGUCAAUUCCCUUCCCCACACACACGCGGAGAAAUAUUGAGUACGUCUCGCGCUCCAGCGUGGCAAACAAGAAGGCGGGAGGAGGAGGACACGUGUCCUCGCGGGACCCAAUCUCUGGUCAGACUGAGGAGGAAAUCGAGAAGGAAAUCAGGCGCUUUUGAAAAAAUUUCGACUGCGUGAGGAUUUCUUCUUCUCUUUCUUCGCGCCUCUCUCACUCUACCCUCCCUCCUCUCUCUCUCUCCGACGAACAGCACGCGACCUCCCAGUCUCGCUGUGCCCUCCUCUUUCCGAUCGGCGAACCACCGCCAGCAACCGACGAACCACCGCACUGGACCGGCGAGAGGGCCGCGAGCAAUCGACGAACCACUGCACGGGACUGGCGAGAGGACCGCGACCUCCCUCUCUCUCUCUCUGCCCUCCCUCUUUCCGACCGGCGAACCACCGCGAGCAAAUCAGAUGUUUUUGUAGAGAUCUCCCAUCGUCGCCUUCAUAUGGAGGACGACGUGAUGUCUCACAUCAACCUCGACGUCAUCGGCGCUUACUCCUCGACGAACGCGUCGUCGUCGUCUCCAGACUCGGGGCUCUCGUGGUUCGACGAGAUCGAGAACAUCCUGACGAAGGACGACGAUGUCCACGUGCUUGCUAAGCCGGGGGCUGAGCGGGCCGUGCCGGAGGGACUCGAGCUUCCCGCGGACCUUCGCUUCCCCUGCCCCUCACCGCCGGCUUCUCCCCGCCUCCUGCAAGAUGCGGCAGUGCGGCCUCAGGUGCUCCGCCAGCUAGCUGAUUUCCUCGGUUUCCAUGGCGCGUGUUCGGGAUUCUCAUUUUUUUCUUUUUUUUGUUUCGUGUGUGGAUGACUACUAGUUCUGGGAGCAGGAGGCCGCGGGUCAAGAAGGCUUCGCCGGAUAGGCCGCCGUCGAUUGUGGUUAAUGGAGAGGGCGAAGAGGACGCUGCUUUGGCGGAGAGCGUGCGUAGCGCUGGUCGGGAAAUUGUGGCUGAUGAUUCCGAUGGAGUCGUGAUUGAUGUGGAGAACCAGAAUGCUGAUAGAACAGAAGCUUCCGACGGUACGGCGAUGGAGACAAAUUUGGUAUUUUUCUUUUAGCAUUUCUAGUGCUUUCUUGGGAUUUUUUUUUUUAAUCUGUCUGGAUACGCGUAUGCAAUGUGCACAUUGGUUCUAGCUCAUGAAUAUCUCGCAAAUUAAGAAUUUGAGAGCAUGUUUUCUUCGGGGCAGCUGCAAUUGUUUUACAGCUUCAAGCACAGUGACACUAUUGAUGAUUGAUGUUGCGGUGUCGCCUAUCCUAUAUAUGGGCUUUACUUUUUGCACCAUAGCAUCAAUGUGGUUGAAUUGCAAUACAUCUACAUUGCUGAAUUAUUAGAUUGUUCUUUCCUUAAAAUUAAGGGCUUAGUUCUCUUGCCCUUCCUUUUUUGUUCUGUUAGGGACUAGAAAGCAAAGGCUCCAUUUGCCUCUGUAAUUUAUUUUCCCGUCUGUUUUACCUAUAGGAAAUAUGCUCUCAUUCCUAUUCUUUUGAAUAUCUGUACAUGUUCUUAUAUGGUGUGAGUUGUUACUUCUAUAGUAGGCUAUCAAUAGUUCUUUAAAGAUAUAUUAUUAAUUCCUUCAAUUUUUGUGGCUUCAGGCACCAUGUUUCGUUGAUGGAGUGACUCUCACCACAGUGAGGAAGAUGACUCUCCGCACUUCGAAUCUAAGGUAAUUAAGAUUUCAAAAUUACAGCGUUUGUAAGGACUGGACAUUUCGCAGAGUGUAUCUCCUUGAUUGAUUGCUCAUAUUUAUCCGAUUUCCAUGGCUGACCAUGUGGUUGACCUAAGUCAGUAGUUUUUUUGGCCAUGAGAAACCAUGAAGUGGCCCUUUUUGCAGAUAAUACUUUACUGUCAAUACACCUCCUUAUCUGUACCCCUUUCAUAUAUGUGUUUAAUGUCUCAUGAUGCAUUGAUUUUCUAGAGUUGUGGAAUAAUCAUCAAUGUUCCUUCCCAGAAUAUAGUUGUAAUACAGUUACAUUUUAAGUCCAUUUGCAUGCAGGUGAAUGAGCUUAAGAAAGCUAUGGGACCACUCUCUGGGUGAAGUUUGAAGUAUUGUGAUGAUGCAUGCUUGAGGAGAUACUUGGAAGCUUGAAACUGGAACAUAGAUAAAGCAAAGAAAAUGUUAGAUGAGACGCUGAGGUGGAGAUCAGCUUUUAAGCCUGAGGAAAUCAGCUGGGUAAGAUGGCUAAGUGUCCCGGUGAAUGAAUACCUGCGCGAGUAUUGUGAUAGAUAAUUUAUGCCAAUGGUUGUUGCCUGUUAAACUUCAGUAGACAUCUGAUCCUUGUUACCCUAACUAUUGUGUUGACCUGAUAAUUAAUUUUAUUUCGUAGACUAAGUUCCUGGUAUGGAGAAGAACUGAUUUUGUGAAUGAAUGCGAAUGCAGGAUUGGUGUUAGUCAACAAUAAUUGAGUGGCUCUCAUUUUUUGUCUUCUAUGAGACUGCCAUGAUGCAGUGAUAUGAAGCAUUAGGUGUUGGAGAGUUUAUUGUUCAAGGGACAAUAAGUGUCCCAGUAUAUUUUCACUCAUGCUGUUUCCAAAAUCAUCAUUAGACCGUUUUAGUUGACAAUAUGGCUAAUGAGCAGGUUGUGUUAGACAUGCAAUAGUACUUAUUGGGACGCCAAAUAAUGCUUCCAUUUGACAAUGCGAUGCUUACUGAAAACACGAAGAAGUUGCUAUUGAAGGUGAAACUGGAAAAGUAUACAGAGCAAGUUUUCAUGAUCGUUAUGGAAGGAGUGUUCUUAUAUUGAGACCUGAAAUGCAGGAAUUUAUCCAUCCUGUUGCUAAUUUCUGUAGCUUUUAUUUGCUCUUACCUAUUAACUUGGCAAUAAAUCUUGCAGAAUACUCAUGUAGUGUUUGAUGAGGACUACAGCAUGUACUGGCGGAGGUCGGAACUUAUGGAAUACGAAGAUGGCGAACUCUCAUGGUUCAAUGCCGGAGUGAGAGUUGGAAUUGGAAUUGGGCUUGGCAUAUGCAUUGGGGUCGGCAUAGGAGUAGGGCUGCUGGUGCAUACUUACCAAGCAACUACUGGGAACUUUAGAAGGCGGCUCAUGUAGGACAUCGCCUCUCUAAGUUCUACACUACAAUCUGCGAUCUGCGGAUCCCUCAUAGAUUCUGCCCUCCUGGCAUUCCAGUCCAAUGUGCUUUCUCUCGUUGAAGGUUUUGGCUCAAAGUGUUUCAUUUCCAAGGUCGAGCGUGAGCAAAUUUUCGUGUGCUUUAUUUGUGGUAUCUUCUCUGUUUAGAGGGAGGCAAACGAUGUGUAGAUUCAAUGAAUCCUGAGGGCAGUUGAGUUGAGUUGAUCUCACAGGGGAUGCAUAUAUGUACAUGAGUGGUUCGUUAACGUGUAAAAAGGUUUCUCAUUUAUAUAAAAAAAAUCUCAUUUAUAUAUAUAACAAAAGCAGCAACAGUAGUUACAUCGUUUUAAUAAGCCUAAAAAAAAGAGCAUGCGUAUGGUUCAAGUCUUUUAAAAAGUAAAACUGCAAAAAAUGCUAACCAAGGAAAAACUGAUCAGGCCAUUCCAAUGAGACUUCUUGCUCUUGUGAUUCAGCAACGCUCCUUUGUUGAUGGAGAGAAGUCCGACCCCACGUCUGGUUGUCCGGUGUGCCGAGUGUGUUCGUCUGGUUGUCCAGUGUGCCGAGCGUGGAUCCGAGCAUUGCAGUUGUAUCGUCUUCUAAUGGAUUAGCAAAAGGAUUUGAACCAAAGAGGUAAUUGGCAUCGUCUUAAUGGAUUAGCAAAAGGAUUUGAACCAAAGAGGUAAUUGGCAUCGACCUCAAAGGGGUAAUUGGUGUAGUCCUCCACUGUCAGAGGAAGUAAAUCUGCAUAUGGGUAAUUGGUGUAGUCCUCCACUGUCAGAGGAAGUAAAUCUGCAUAUGGACCGUUGUCAAAAGCUGGGUAAGUGGUGUCGCCAGUAUCGCCAAAAGCCGGAGAGGUGAGGUCGCCGAUAUCUGGUCCUGGAGCAACAGAUCUUGCAUCAAUUGCGUCACCACUUAAACCAGUGAAAGCCAGGUCAUCGUUAUCUAAAUGCAAGGCGGGUGCUGCCGCCAUUGACAUCUGAAGUUGUUCAGCAUAGGCUUGGGCAGUGGCGGGUUGGACUCCAUCCACUGUAGCUGAUGGCAAAGCAACGAUGCUUGUGCGAUCACCGGAGUUGUGGAGUAGGCGCGCCCUCUUCGCUUGUCGAUUAUUGUCUUCGGAUUGCACCAGUACAUCGUCCGAAGUUACAAUCUCCUUGUCUUUUGAUUUAUCAUCUCUAAAAUAUUCGAUUUUGCACAAUACGUAAUUGCACUGCUGCACAGAGUUAAGCCAAGCGGUUAACGAUUUCCAGCCCACAGUGUGAAAAGAAACGGGACGAUACGGGAGAGUUAGAUUAUGGAGAGGGACCAUGACCCGUUCAUUACUAUCCUACGCACAAGAACCAUUCUUCCUCGAAACAAACGGAUCGUUGCUAAUAGGCAUGAAGCAUCAUUACAUGAAAAAUCGAUACUGACAAUCUACCAUCAUUGCGAGUCAAAGAAUUAAAACCUUACCCUCUCGUCGCACAUUGAGAACUCCUUCAUGAUCCAGCGUCCGCUCGUUGCGCUCGGGCCACCUCCUUCUUGAAACUUGAAGGACUUCUUGUAGCCAAGAAAAUCACCACCAUCGUUAAAGAUUUUCGUCCGGUGCUGCCCUUUCCAUGUCCCGGACCCAACAGUCCUUGAAUUCCUCGACCCCAUCUUUGUCAACUCGGUGAAAACGUAGAACGUCUGCUUCAACUCCAAGGUGGUGUUGAAGAUCUUCCAAGGCUCUUGGCUGUAAAGAUCGCACUCGUCGAUUUGACCGAGAGGCAACGGCUUACCCAUUACUUUCGGCUGGAGGUAGUCGGUGAUAAGGCACUCAUCGGUCGGGCGAUACUUAGCUAGCGAAUUCAUGCCGGUGACGAACAGAGUAUCCUUCUCUGGCUUUUGUUGCUUUCGAAGGGGAGAGCUUGAAUGAUUGGGUGAAGGCCGCAAGCUAAAUAUAUAGUAUACUCUGUUCUAUUACACAGAUGAAAGGCAAUUGAGAAAGCCAGACCCGUAUCCAUAUUUCUUGGAAUCCUAAACUAAAUAGAAUCCUACCAAUAAUCGUAAUUGAAACUAUGAAGAGGGGGAGAAUGAGGGACGAGGUUGAACCAUGAAGAGAGGAGGAGAAACAUGGUAGCCUAAAAAUGCCAGCUGUAGGCCAAUUAGACAAUGCUAACUGUAAGCCAUUUCACGGCAUCCGCCGCCUGUUAGUAAUUGGCAGUGCUGCCAUUCGAAAGGGAUGUUCGAAAGUGUGAAAGUAUCGAGUGUUGAAGGUGAAGGUAGACAUCUAUCCGUGAGCAGGACGUUUUAGAAUUUUGACUUCAGCGAAUCGAAAGUAAAGGAUUGAUGUACUUGUCCACUUGUUGGGGGAGAAAAUCUCCGCAGUUUGAAAUAUUCGAUUAAGAUGUCUGAAAAGCUCGUCUGUUGGUAGUUAAUGAUGGAGUUGAGUGGCAUUGAUCUGUUGACCUUUCUUAAUGAAAGAAUCCAUAUAACAUGGAAUGUGUUAAGUCAUGACUAGUAUUUUAAAUCCGAAUCCCUUGUUCUCUUUUGAAUGAAAAUGUUUUGCUGUAAAAUGAUUUACAAGAUAUAAAUUAUCUGUGUUGGAGUGGACAUGCUGUAAGUACCAAACCUUUGCUCUUGUGUGCAACCAAACCGGUUCUACUUGGAAAUUGGAUUGGUCUAUCCAAAAAAUAGGUUAAGGAGCAGGUUUCCAUUGGAAUCGCUCCAGUGGAACCGGAAAUAAUCGGUCGUAAAACAGAUUUUGAGUGAAUACUUACUCGGGAAUCGGACUGAACUGCCCUAUUUUGAAACCGAUUUUAUAAGCUUAAAAAGUCAAAAAUCUAAUUUUAUUUUCCUCUGAAUUCUUACAUCAGUAUCUUUCAUCCUUCAUCCUUUACCCUUCCUCAAAACUCCUUAUCAAUUUUUCCUCUUUCUUUAAUUUUUUUUAAUGAAUGAAGAAUAAAGUUUUAUAACUUAAGUUUUGUUGUUAUGUGUUUGAGCUUUUCAUUGUUUAAAAUUGUAUUUGAUUACGUAUUCUUCUUAUGGAAUAUUAUUUUUGACGGAUUGAAAUUUCUAUUUUUUUAUUUUUUACUUCGAAUCAUUUUGUUACUCAUAAUCUCAUAUGAUUUAGUUGUAAAGACAAAGAAAACAAAAAAAUAAAACUAGUUUUCAAGAAAACCCAACAGGGUAGAUUCCAUAAUUGAUUUCAGAGUCCAAAAACUAAAAACCAACUAUAACAGAUUCUAGGUUUCAAUUUUGGAACUUGUUAUACUAGAACUGAUCACUUCUACUCCACGGGAAUUGCUACCAUGGCCUAAACCAAACCCCUCAAAAUCCCAAACCGUUGCGCCAAAGACAAUUGUGCCUUUUCAAAAACUUUCUGAAAUUGAGUAUGUACCAAAUAUCAGCAACCGUGCGGUCAAUAAAUGAUGGUAGCUUCAGCGAUCCGUGGUGGCUCUACUGUUACAUCCCGGAAAUGGUGGCGGCCCAAGUGACGACAAUAAAUGGAGAAACAAUUGCUGCUCCAUCAAAAUAAAAUUCACUUUUCAGAUUUUUUUUUUGAACAAACACUUUUCAGAAUUUAAGCCUUGAGUUUUAAGCUUUUCUAAGCGGUUAUCUUCUUGCAAGACAACGGAGCCUUACAAUCAUUAGGUUCAGUCAGAGAGAGAGAGAAAGAGAGAGAGAUACUAAAACUACAAAUCCAGUUAGAUGUGUGAAAUUUUAGCUAAAAAAACCCAAAAAAAUGGAUACACGGUAUCUUCAUUCCAUUCUUCUCUUUGAGAUACAAAAGUGUAGGAAAAUUACCAAAUUACCCUAUCUCAGUUAAAUAAUCGAGUAUAUCUUUACAUUGGAGGGUACAAGUCACGUCACCUCAGCAUGUACAACAAGGUUAUAUCUUGUGCAUCUUCAGGCGCAUUCUCAAUCCUAAUCUUACAAAUCAAAUCAAAACUCAACACUAAAAUCGAGUGAAGUGAAUAAUAUGGCCACGGUAAACCAUAAUGGAAUCAUGUUGGCACCGCAACAAGAGUCUGCAGUGAACUUCUCCGUUGCUUGUGUUCCAUCUGCUUUGCUAGGACUUUCAUCCGUGCACUAGGUUUAAUUGCGUGUCGACGCCAUAGCAAUCCGUGCUCACUCAUUACGAAACUCUUUUGCUUAAAAAUCGCUUCAAAUCUGUUCAACCUUUGGUUGGAUAGAUCCAUUCUCAAGAGCACGUGACGUAUUGGAAUUGUCUGUACAAGAAGUGCUAACUACUGUGGAAACCACCUAAGUCGAUAAAGGCGGUGGAACACUAGUUCUGGCGAUGCUAUUGCUUUCCAACCAUGGUUGAUGUCCUGUGUCAAUUUUUCCAUUUGCACCUCCGUUACAGAUGGGGUCCUUUUGAAGUCCCAAUUCAGUUCUUGCUAAUGAGGAAUACUUGGUCUCUGUCACAAAAAUAAUCACUAUGAGAACCUAGUAAUGAGGAGGGUACUCUAUCAAACUGCCAAUAAUGUAUGGCAGAACAUCUAGAAUCAGAUUAUCAGUCAUUUAACUAAGUAUUAGCAAGGACAAAAAACCAAAAGGAUGUGCAAUUCCAUCAUUUCAAAAGAAACGUGAAUAGAUCCAACGUAAUUUCCUCAAUAUCACACAAGCAUGGUAUAGAACUAUGGCAUCGUAUGAUAUAUUUACAAAUCCUAUGUCCAAUACUCCAAACAAUUUAUCUAUUGAGAAGUGGAGUGAUAUAGGUUUAAUUGGUUCACAUAUGAAGAAAUGCCUUAUUUCUAACUUCUAGGCAAUGUUAUAGUGUGUUAUUCAAAAACUAUUUGGCAGUCAUAUUUCGAAAUACUUGACUAUGCUACUUCAUAUUGAAACAAUCAAUGACACCAUAUUGCGCACAUUGCAGAAAGUAUGACCUCAACUUUCAAGGUUUUAACUUGGUUGAACAACUUUUCUAAAUUUUCCACAUUAGCAUUGUGCUUUUUUGUCUUUGACACCUCCUUUCCAAGCCUAGAAUUAGGGGCCGAUUGGUUUAGCAUUCCCAAUGGGCUUUCAGCCCCAAAAGCCCCUUGGGGAAAAUUUCAAGCGUUUGGUUCAGCAUUUUGAGGUAUACUUGGAAGAAUGCUAGCAUUUAGAAUGCUCUAGAAUGCUGAAGAGAGGAUUAGUGAAUUUUUUUCUUCCAAUAUUGCCCUUAUUGAUAUUUGUGUUUUCCUAUUAUACCCUCAAAAACUAUUGUUCAUCGUCUUCCUCGUUGAACUUAUUUCGUUGAACUUAUUUCUUCAAGAGUGAAGUUCAGCCGGCGGAGCUCAGCCGGCCGGAGCUGAUCGCCCACGCAUCGCUGUCGCCAAGCACUGCUGUCGCAUGGGUCGCAGCCUCAGGCGACGUCACCUAGGUCGCCCGACCCACGCGACGAGCUGAGCGGUGCUCAACCGGCCAGAUCUGGUCACCACGCAUCGCCGUCGCCAAGCACCGCCGUCGCCAAGCACUGCCGUCGCCACGCACCACCAUCGCAUGGGUCGCGGCCUCAGGCGGCGUCGCAGCCUCAGGCGGCGUCGCUUGGGUCGCGCAACCCACGCAAUAGGCUGAGCACCACCUGAUCUGGUUGCCACGCAUCGCCGUUGCAUGGGUCGCGUGGCCCCAGGCGGCAUCGCCUUGAGGGCACGCGACCCACAAGACGGCAGUGCGUGGGUCGCGCGACCUAGGCGACGCCGCCUGAGGCCGCGACCCAUGCGACGGCGGUGCGUGGGUCGCGCGACCCACCGCCUCCCCACCACCACAGCCACUUGCCGCCUCCCCCACCAGCUCCAGCUGCCUCCCAAUCGUUCCCCUCCUCUGCUUCAACAUCUCCUUCUCCUUUCUCCUUUUCUGUUUUUCCUUUUUAUUUUCAGCUUAAAGCUCCUUUGUAAAAUGCACCAAAAUAAAAAGAGUUUUCAAACACUUCAACAUUCACAAAAUGUCCAUUCUUCUAAAGAUACUUAGGGAAAUGCAAAGGCAUUUCCCAAAAUUGAACCAAACGGGCCCGCCACAAGCAUUAUUAAAAUUGUAUUUUAUUUAUCUCUUUCUUUUUUUUUCUUUUUUUUUGGGACCAUAUAUUGUUGUUGAAAUGGGGCCCUCCGACCCAUUCAACCACGCGAUCCACGAAAGCACGAGGAAUCUGAGUACGGCCCGUCCGACAAUGACAAGGACACAGCACUUGUCCUGACAAAGUGAAUUUGAUUGGAUACCCUGCGGCCGAUCCCAUUGUAUUAUCGUGAGACCCUAUUAAUUGAAGAAAAUAAAAAUAAAAGUAAGUGUUCUAUGGUAUUUAGUCAUCGAUUAUAAUGUUUUAUUUAAUUAAUAUAGAAAUCAGGAGAACUCCAUAAUCGGCUCUAGGGGUUAUCUUUAGGAUUCUUCGAAUGGAAUUACUAGACACCAUGUAAAUCCAUAAUAUAUCAAGAAGAUUUUCAUUACAUAUCAACGAAUAUCAAAUUUUUUUCAUUUAUUAGGUGGAUAUUUUUUAUAAUUACAAAACCUCAGAUACUCUUAACUAACAUAUUUGUCAUGCCUCAGUUAUAAUAUAAUCUUAUCUACAAAAUAAAGCUAACUUGAUCAAGUGAUUCCACUAGUGUUUAGUCGUAUCAAAAGUCAUGAUUCAUACAGAAUGAUAAAGUAAUUUGACAUAUGUAGCGGCAUCUAAGAUAAAGCCCAAAUAUUUUGACUCGGUUUACGAAUUUAUUUUUUGGUUGGACGUGGCAUGAGAAACGUAAUCAGACCAAAGAUUUUAAGAUAGAAUUUCGUGCAAAGUAUUGAUAUUAUAACUAUUUCUUUGUAUAUGACACACAAAGAUCUAAUUUUCAAUGAUUUAAUUUCAGACGAAAAAUGUUCCAAAAAAAAGAAAAAAAAAGUGCACACUCGUUUUACUCGCUUCCCCACUCAGCCAGCCACGCCAUCUCUCUCUCUCUCUCUCUCUCUCUCUCUGUCCGCGCGUAUAAAAGCGGGCUCGCUCCGCCUUCCGUUACUCGCUCGAACUCCUCCACCUCGGCGAGUCUCUCCGGCGCUCCGUCGUUCGCUCUAGCGGGAAACGAACUCGUCUCGGCUCGGCACGUCCUGCGUCCCUGUCUCCGGAGGACUUGCCGAUCAUGGCGAGGAUCGGCGUCGCCAUGGACGUCGGCGGCGACGGCGUCGCGGUCGUCACCAUGUCCAAUCCUCCCGCCAACGUCUUGACCAUCCCAAGUAAAGCUCCGGCGGGGCCCUUUCUUUGCUCCUUCUCUUCUCUUCUCUUCUCUUUUUCGCCGUCGGGGUUCGGUCGGUAGUGGAGCGAGCGCGCGUGGUGCUGAUGUUGCUCAUUGGUGGUGGUCGGUGCAGUUCUAUCCGGAUUGAAGGAGAAGCUCGACGAGGCUAUGAGCAGGAAUGAUGUGAAGGCUAUUGUCUUGACCGGUAAGGCACUGUUUGUUUAUCUUCUUUUCUUCUAAUCACGAACACAAUUUCUAUUUUUUGUGAAAACAAAAAAAAAAUUAUUUGUAUUUUUGUUUCAUUUUUUUUUUCAAGAACAAAUUUGAAACAAAAAUAAGAAUUUUUUUUUCUUGAACACUUCUGAAAAUUAAUUUUUCUCUCUUAAAUUUUUUUCUUUUCUUUAUUUUAUUCUUCUUUUUUCUUUGGCUGGUCGUUGAUCAGCCCUCGAUAAGGUGGAGUGUUGUUGGCCCCUGGCAAGCCUCGACUUGGCUAAUCGAGCUCGAGCUUGCCUAGAUCUAACGAGGCCGACUCGCUGGCCAGGCUAAGCCAUCAGCCAUGGCCAAAGCCAAAGCCGGCAAUCGGCUUAAAGAAAGAAAAAUGAAAAAAAGAAAAAAAUUAAAAAAAAUUAUAUAAAUUUAUCAAAUAUGUUUUUGAUCUUUUCCUAUUUCAAUAAUAAAUUUACCAAACACAUUCUUCUUUUUAAAAAUUUGUUCUAAAAAAAUAAAAAUAGUUAUUUUGGGGAAUAAUUUUUUAAAAGCAACGUUACCAAAUGCGCCUUUCAACUUUCGGAACUUCAUUAUGCUGUCCAAUCUCUGUUUCGUUGCGGCUUUUUCUUGUUGUCUGCUUCUUCGUUGUUCCUGAUCGGUCAAAAGGCAUUAACUAUGCCAAUUCGCGCGGGUUCUACUCGAUGCGUUUUGUAAUUUUUGCUUACGCGCGAGUAUCAUGCGUGUCGUUUCGUUUGUUUUGAAGGCAACGGCGGGACGGUUUCUGGUGGUUUUGAUAUCAAUGUCUUUGAGAAGAUUCAUAAGACUGGUAUGAUUUUGAUGGGAAUCGUCUCUUGAAUCACUCGUUCGCUGAUUUCCCGGCGAUACUGAACUCGAACGUGAUCGAUUUGCCUGGCAGGCGAUAUUUCGAUUUUUCCUGACGUGUCCGUCGAGCUCGUGGUCAACACAAUGGAAGGUCCUUAGCCGGGCUUAAAAACUGUUACCUUUACACAAUGCGAUGCCAUUGGAGAGGGUGAAUAAAGAUUGAUUUUUGUUUCUAUUGCUAGAUGCCAAGAAGCCUAUCGUUGCUGCUGUAGAAGGAUUUGCUCUCGGAGGUGGCUUAGAAUUGGCGCUGGUCUGUCGUCUGUGUUCUGGGUAGAGCAGAAGCAGUUUCGAAUGUUGUUUUCUUUUGUUUGUUUCCUAUGUUUAUAAUCAACAAUGCCCCCUUUCGUGUUUAUCCAGGGAUGCCAUGCACGUAUAGCGGCGCCAAGAGCACAACUCAGCUUACCAGAGCUAUUACAUGGAGUAAUUCCAGGAUUCGGAGGUACUUUUAGGCAAUGCCUGGGCAUAAGCCUGAAUGUCUUACAACAAUCUGCCCUGCUAAUGAUCCAAACUAACAAUAAGCUUAUUCAAUUCUUAAGGAACGCAACGUCUUCCGAGGCUUUUAGGACUGGCCAAGGCUAUUGAAAUGAUGCGGGUGAGAUUACAGUUUGAUCUAGGACUCUCUCUCUCUGCUCGCUUGCACGUGCAAAUUUUUUUUUUUUUUUUGGGGGGGGGACUAUUUUAUUGAUUUGGUGAUUUGGUGGGGUUGUGUAUUGAUGCCAUACCUAGGAUAAGCAGUACAUGAUUCGUGUUUGCAUAAACUAGUUGCAAAUUGAACCCACAAAGGUUGGAUGACGCUGCAGAUAGUGACCGCAAGGUUCCCUGUUCUGAAAUAUGGCUUAAGUGUGAUUUUCACUUCUCUUCUUUUGAGGACCGUGGAGUAAUAUAAAGAUAUAUACUGAUUUAAUGGUACUAGAAUAUCUUACUACUGUCUUCUAAUUAAGAUUUGCUAUAAAAAGAGAAAAAAUAGAUGCUGCAAGAAUUAUAAAAUGAGAGGAAUCUCUAGAAUGAAGUAUCUGAGGUCAAGAUCCGAUCAAAUUUCUCCUAAUCAGGAUUCUAGGCCAUUGCUCAGCGUUCUGACUUCUAUUCCGAGAAAAGAGCAAGCAUCUCACCAAAAGUCUUGUCUGCAGUUAUUUAUUUACGAACAUGCUAACUAAUUGUUGCAUCUAAUAAUAUGCAGUCAUCCAAACCAAUUAUGUCAGAAGAGGGGAAGGAACUAGGUCUCAUAGAUGCCAUCGUUCCUUCAGGAGAAUUGCUGAAAGCAUCUCGUCUCUGGGCUCUGGACAUUGCAAAUAGGCGUAAACCAUGGGUUCGUUCACUUCAUCGCACAGAUAAGCUCCCUUCCCUGUCUGAAGCACGCAAUAUACUGAAAAUUGCACGAGAACAAGCAAACAAGACUGCUAUACACUUGCCUCAGCAUCAGGCGUGCCUUGAUGUGAUCGAACAUGGCAUCGUUCAUGGUGGAUAUAGUGGGGUUCUAAAGGUACGUUUUAGAGUAUGGCUAAUCUGUCAUAGAUAACUAGUCUGUCUCCCUUGAAAGAACUCAAUUUGCUGUUCUUAAUUUACAAUGGUGGAUAACAUUAUGCACCUAAUUUCUAAAUUUGCCCACAUUACUAGCAUGUGCACUCUCGGGACUUUUUUGACCAUUCAACUCAACAUGUCUGCUGGGAAAAGCUUUUUUUCAUUGUUGGGGAGGGGGAGUAGCGGGCAUGAAUAGUUUUGAAGCAAGCUUAGUUUCAUUUGUGAAUUUGCUGACGAAGAAAAUUGUCAUGGCAGGAGGCUAAAGUAUCUAAAGAGUUGCUCUUAUCAGAAACUUCAAAGGGUCUUGUUCAUGUAUUUUUUGCCCAGCGUGUGACAUCAAAGGUGCGUCUUAAGUAGAUAAGUACCUCCUACUUCAAAUUAACGAGGUAAAUGUAUUAAGAUGUGAGGGAUCUUCUCUAUCCUUUCUUUAUUGUAUUUGACAGAAAAAAGUGGGCUGCUAGAUGCGUGGUUCUUAGUUUUGAGUUUGAACAGUCGUAGGAGAGAAUUACUGUUUGAAAUUUGAGUCUUCUUUUCUGGGAAAAGGACUUUGUAGUUAACUGUGCAUGCAGGAAGAAGUUAUGCUUACAGAAAAGGAUAAGGACAUGCUAAUUCUUCUAAACGAAUAUCUUGCAGGUGCCUAAUGUCACUGAUGUUGGGUUAAAACCAAGGAAGGUGAAAAAGGUUGCUGUGAUAGGUGGAGGUCUAAUGGGUUCUGGCAUUGCUACCGCUCUUAUUGUGAACAACAUAUACGUUGUUCUUAAGGAAAUCAACUCUGAGUAUCUUCUAAAGGGGGUGAAAAUGGUUGAGGGUAAGUAGUCCAUUUCUUGAAGACAGAAGUACAGUCUAAGUGCCAAAACUUACUUGGCACAAGAGGACACUUAAAAGUGUCAAAACUUUGAAAAUGUACAUUUAAGUGUCACUUUCUUUGAAAAGUGGGAUACUUAAGUGCCACCUUCGGCGAACCUUACUGGAAAUCCUACAUGGCAAUCCUACGUGACAAUAUUUUAUUAUUUUUGCUUGCCUAGGUGGCUCGUUGGAGAGCUGACUCGGCUCUAACUCACCCGAAACAACGCCAUUUACAAAAUAAAAAUUAAACUACCAGCUAAAAUAUUCUAAAAAAUAAAGAUGUGUAAAUAAAUAAUAUAAAAAAAUAAUUAUAUUUAAUUUAAAAUUAAAUUUAUUUAAAAUAUUCUAAAAAAAAAAGGGAGUCGAAGGGAGACCGCUGAGGGCUGAGCCUUUGCCACUGUUGUCGAAAAGGGCUGGCGAUGGAGGGGGGAGGGUCAGCCGGGGUGGCCGGCCCUCGGUUGACCGCCGGCGAGGGCCGUGAGCUUGGGCGAGGGCCGUGACCCUCGCCCCAGAACUGGGCGAGGGCUAACGGGCCCUCAGCGUCGGUCGACCAGGGGCGGGCCACCCCGACCGACCCUCCUUCCUCUAUCGCCGGCCUUUCCCAACGGCGGCAAGGGCUCAGCCGCCUCCUUUCGGCCCCACCACUUUUUUUUUAAAUUUUUUUUAUAGAUUAUUUUAAAUAAAUUUAAGUUUAUAUUUAAUUUAAUUAAUUUUUAUAUUAAUUAUUUACACAUCAGACAAACAAUGUCGUUUUUGCAUUUUCUCACCACGUCAGCGUGCAAAACGACGCUAUUUUGCAUUCAUCUCGCUGGAAAAUUGUCACGUUAGCAAUUUGGCCGGAGUGAUACUUAAGUGGUCCAUUUUACUCCGAUUUUGGCAUUUAAGUGUACAUUUUCAAAAUUUUGGCACUUAGUGUCCUUCCGUGCCAAGGUCUAUAUCUCAUUUCAUGAAGUUCAAAAGCCAGGGAGCAGCAUUCCCUGUUUAGCUACACCAUUUCCUCAUUUGUCAUGGGCCAUAGUGUGGUGAACAGAAUUUUUUUUUUUUUUUCCGUUGGUUACUUUCCACCAUGACUCAGAGGAAGUUACCAAGAUUUUAUCUAUAAUUUGAUGUAUAGUAGCUGCUAAGGUAUCCAGUACUUUUAAACUGUUAAUAGGAAUAGGUAGGUCACUUCAUGCAGGACAAGUUCAAAUUAAAGUAUUGUUUGAUAUUGUCUAUAAUUCAUAACAGCCACAUUAAUUUAAACAUAUAGUUUCUAUCUUUUUUUAUCCAUCACAAAAGACAACUUCAGGUCAUUGCCCACCAAUGAUGCAAAGUGAGUAUGAGAGUAUAUAUAUCUAGGCUGUUUACAGAAGUUAAUUUUAACCCAAAUGCCUUUGCUGAUUAUGAAAUAGUGAUUUUGUCCGUGAUGCUGUUAUUUGCAAUAAGCUUGAGUUCUCAUCAAGUUUUCUAUGGCUUCUCUUUGCAGCUAAUGUUCGAGGCCUGGUAGUGAAAGGGAAACUGACACAGGGUAAUGCGGAAAAGGCUUUGUCAAUGCUCAAAGGUGUUCUGGAUUAUGCAGAUUUUAAAGACGUGGACAUGGUGAUAGAGGUAGAUUGCAAGUUUUCUGCUUAAAAUUCCUGCUUUGCAGAUCUGAUUAUACAAUUCUUCACUAUAGAAAAUGGCACCAAGGAGUUCACAUGUUAUAUUGAAUAGAAGCCAUGAGAGAUCUUUAAGACUCAUAUGCGUAUGAUAAGUACUACUUCUUUGUUAGAAACAAUUGAUGGAAGUCCCCCCUUUGCAGGCUGUGAUCGAGAACAUUUCAUUAAAACAAGCAAUUUUUAGUGAAAUUGAGAAGAUAUGUCCUCCCCAUUGCAUACUAGCUACAAAUACUUCUUCAAUUGAUCUUAAUAAAAUUGGAGAAAGAACCAGCUCUCAAGAUCGGGUAGUGGGUGCUCAUUUUUUCAGGUUAUUUAACCUAUUCUCUUUUCCUUUAUGACAGAUGAAUGAAGCAUCACUCUUUCUCAUCCUUGGUGCAGAAUAGCCAUGCUUAAUGUGGGGUCUGGAAUUUGUGGUUGUGUAGUUAGGAUUAUUUGACCUGAUUUUAUAUCUAUUAAAAUGGUAACUUAGAUUACUGAUAGGCAUGUGAUUUUCUUUCUUGUCAUUCCAAUUGACAAUGCAACUGCAGCAUUAUUUAUCUGUUCCACUCUGUGAAAGGUGUCACUUUUUCCUGUCAUAUCUGGUCCGAUCAAUCUUAUCCUGUUGAUAGUUUUCUCGGUGAUCUGUCUGAUGGAUCUAUUCUGUUUCUGUCCACACAUGUAUGUCUCUUUAAAAAAAUUUCCCUGUUUUGGCACAAUUUGAGCAAGAAAAAUGCUGAAGGCUGAGUUAGUAAUGACCAUCGUGUUUAUGUAUGAUCAGGUUCUGUAGCAUAGCAUGUAUUACUAUAUCAGACAUCUUCUUCUUUUUUUUAUUUACCCUUUGAAUCAAGAGUCAGCAGUGGUGGGACAUAGCUUUCAGUGGCUCUCUAUAUGUUGCCCCUCAUUUGGAUAUACGAUGUCUUUAGAUGCCAUGGAGCUGUCCGUCUUAAACUUGAUAUUAGAUUUGCAAAGUUUUCUUGCCGUUUGAUUCUUUGUGGCACGUUAUGCAUUUUAAUGAGUGAGAUUUAACUUUUCUUACCUUUCCAGCUCUUCUAUGUUCUGCCUGGAUCUUCACCUUUUCAGCAUACUGUUAUGAAGAAUGUGGGUUCUUUGUUUGAUUGAGAUGACCUAUAUAGAUACCACGCUACCUUUCUCUAGUAUCACAUUCUUUUCCCCUGUGAACUGGUUUACUAAGCUUACUCUUUUUUCUUUUUGAUGGACAACUCUGGAAACAGUCCGGCUCAUAUAAAGUCCCUAUUGGAGAUUGUACGCACAGAGAGGACUUCUGCACAAGUGAUUCUUGAUCUUGUAACAGUUGGGAAAAUCAUAAAGAAGGUUCCAGUUGUGGUGGGCAAUUGUGCUGGGUUUGCAGUAAACCGGGCAUUCUUCCCAUAUUCCCAAGGUGCACAUCUGUUGGUCAGUCUAGGUGUGGACCCCUUCAGGAUUGACAGGGCAAUUGUCAACUUCGGCUUCCCUCUUGGUCCUUUCCAGUAAUUAUCUUCCCCUCUGCAUUGCAGCUUGUCAUGCAUAUGUUUUUCGCUUGAUCAAAUGUGAUUUGUUGAUGAUAUUAGCUUUUACGGAUAGAUUAAGGUUGGGUGUUCUAAGGGUGCAUUUGAUUCAGUAUUUCCAAGGGGCUUUCCUUGGGGAAAUGUUGAACUGUUUGGCAACCAUUUUGAAGUAAUUUUAAAGUGAAAGUCAAGCAUUGAGAAUGCUGAAAGCCCAAAGCUAGUAGGAAUUACUCUGAGCUUUCAGCAUUUGGCCAAAUGCUGGAACUUUUUUUUUUCCUAAACUGUCAUCACUCAUUCUUCAAAUUUCUUAUUUUGCCCUUGUUAUUAUUUUUUAAAUACCAAAAUAAUGCUAAAAAAUCAAAUUUACAUAAAUGCUAAAAAAAUUAAAUAUAUUUUGGUCUUUUUUUAUUUAAAUAUUUACAUAUUUGAUUUUUUUAGCACAUAUAUUUCAUUCUUUUAGCAUUAUUGUCAAAAUUUAAAUUUAAAAAGUUGCAUACAUUAUUUUUUCAAUUUUAAACAAAUAAAAAUUAAAAAAUUCCGAUGAAGGGUUUGGUCUUUUUUUUUUAGAAAAAAUUAUAUAUAUGUAUUUGAUUUUUUAGCAUUAUUUUCAAAUUUAUAUUUAAAAAUUAUUUUUCAAUUUUAAACAAAAAAAUUAAAAAUUUCGACGAAGCAUUUGGUCUUUUUUUAAUAAUUAUUAUAUGUAUUUGAUUUUUUUAGCAUUAUUGUCAAAAUUUAUUAUUGUCAAAAUUUAUAUUUAAAAAGUUGCAUACAUUAUUUUUUUCACUUUUAAACAAAUAAAAAUUAAAAAAAAAUCCAAUGAAGGGUUUGGUCUUUUUAAUAUAUAUAUAACUUUUUAGCAUUAUUUUCAAAUUUAUAUUUAAAAAUUUGCAUACCUUAUUUUUUCAAUUUUAAACAAAUAAAAUUAAAAAAUUUCGACGAAUGAUUUGAUCUUUAAAAAAAAUUAUAUAUAUAUGUAUUUGAAUUUUUUAGCAUUAUUGUCAAAAUUUAUAUUUAAAAAGUUGCAUACCUUUUUUUUUCAAUUUUAAGCAAAUAAAAAAAAUUCCGAUGAAGGGUUUGGUCUUUUUUUAAAAAAAAAUUAUAUAUGUAUUUGAGUUUUUUAGUGUUAUUGUCAAAAUUUAUAUUUAAAAAGUUGCAUUUUUUAUAAUUUUAAGCAAAUAAAAAUUAAAAAAUUCCGAUAAAGGGUUUGGUCUUUUUAAAAAAAAAUUAUAUAUGUAUUUGAUUUUUUUUAGUAUUAUUGUCAAAAUUUAUAUUUAAAAAGUUACAUACAUUAUUAUUUUUUUAGUUUCUAACAAAUAAAAUUAAAAUAAUAAUAAUAAUAACUAUCCAAAGGGUUUUUCAAAUGUAUUUUCUACUAAACAGCAUUUCUCUCAAAAUUACUUCUCAAACCAUAAUUUACCAAACGGCCUUUGCAUUUGCUUAAGUCUUUUAGGCUAAACUACUUUGUAUUUUCCCAAUGGGUUUUCAAAAUGUUGAACCAAAGGUACCCUAAGAGGCCUAAACACCCAAUGUCAUAAAAUAUUUGUAUGUUUGGUGCAUGCAUGGAUUUGGAAAUAUCCAAGAAAAUUAAGGUUCCCGCAAAUUCUUCUUGUUUUGGGGUUGCAUAUGAUGAUGACUUGAUGUAGCUUGGACUGGAGAGGUAGAGUAGGAAAAUUCCUUGAGCACUUAGCUUUCUUUUCUUUUCAGUAUAAUUGCUUAGUUACUGCUUAGGGGUAACAGCUCCAUUAAUCACUGAAUGAGACCAGACAACAUGUAUCUAAAACUCUUUUUCCAAAGGAAUUGGUCCAUGGAGAAUCGAUUGUCUGAGAAUGUAAAUUAUGAUGAGCCUAGUUGGCUGCCUAGUUUUCUCAUUCUUUGGUUAGCGACAAUCUAAGGAAGCUUCUCCCAAAAGUUUGACUGAAGGAGUACGCGAAAUAUAGAAUCAUUUAUGAAUGUGAGAAACACGAGGAUACAGAGAAGAUCAUGCUGCCAAAGUCCUUGUUCUGAUGGGAGGACCUAUGACUCAUCGGGAUGCACAUGCAAAAAAUAAAUGCAAUAACGUGGUCUUGUGACCUUGUUGUUUAGCCUCUUAGCCUCUCAAGUUGUCACCCGCCAAUCUAUACGAACCUAUGGCUUUUGAUUAGUCCAUUUAUCAUUUGAACUUGUGACUAAAGCAUCCAUUCUCGAAGCCAUGACUGAGUCCUGGCUUCUUGAUGAUGAUGAUCUCUUUUAACAUGCUUGUAAUUGCAGGCUCCAGGAUGUAGCAGGAUAUGGUGUGGGCAUGGCAGUUGGGAAAGUAUUUGCUGAUGCUUUUGCGGGCCGGACAUAUAGGUCUCCUUUGCUUGAACUUUUGAUCAGAAGUGGGCGAAAUGGUAAUGAGGAUGAUCCUUAUAUAUCUUUUCUUAUCAAUGAUUGCUUCUUUUUCAUCUGUUAAAUGUACUUUCAACGAACUCUGGUACAUAGGGAAGAACAAUGGAAAGGGAUAUUAUAUCUAUGAAAAGGGGCGCAAACCAGUACCUGACCCAUCUGUGCAACCUAUUAUUGAGGAGUCUAGAAGGAUUGCCAAUAUCAUGCCCGGUGGAAAGGUACCUUCGUUCUUCUGUUGAGUUGUGUAUAUUCAUCGUAUGGACCUGCUGAUUCUGUUUAACUUAGCUCAGAUCUCUGCAAAAUUGACAAGACCUUAUGAUUCCUUUAAAUUUAUUUGGUGUUCACAGCCUCUCUCUGUGUCUGAACAAGAAAUUGUGGAGAUGCUAUUGUUUCCUGUGGUGAAUGAGGCAUGUCGUGUUUUGGAUGAAGAAGUGGUAAUACGAGCAUCAGACCUUGACAUUGCCUCAGUCCUUGGGAUGAGUUUCCCAUCAUUCCGGUGAGCUAAUCUGCAGUUAUUCUUAUUCCCUUGCAAAUAUGUACAUUAAUUUACAAUGUUGUAACACCAUUUUGCUCCUCGUUCGUACAAAUUGUCACUAUUAAUGCUCUGUUCUAUUUGAGUGUGUCAAGUGGUGGACUGUAUCAGGUUAUGCAUUUUUAUUGACCAUAUUGCUCUUUUGCCUGAAGGAGAGACCAUGGGCUUCCAGUGAUUUUGAGUGGCUCUGUCAGUCUAUUCUUCUACAUCAUAUUGUAAUGCAGGGAUUUUUCAGUACAGCAAUGCAUGGAAGAAUAAGCGUACUUUAACCCGUCCCUUUGUGGCCUAAGGUCGCAGGGUCAAGUCACGGAUGCAGCCUCUUCUCAGAUGCCCCCAGUGUGGGGAGCUUUGUGCACUAGUUCUUUUAUAGAACUUGUAAUUUAUCCUUGAUAUUCCGGUUUUGUUGUCUUGAUGGGCUCAUAUAGGAGGAGGCUUGACAUAUUUAGCACGACAUUGAUUCUUAAUUUCUUAUUUUAUCCCUUUACAUAUUGACACCCGAAUAUUUUCCUCCAUCUUUCUAACCUUCUUGUUUCUUCCAUUGUAGUGGUGGUCUUGUCUUUUGGGGCGAUCUGGUCGGACCGAAUCACAUAUACAAAAAUCUCAAGAAGUGGUCAGAAUUAUAUGGUAAUUUCUACCGACCAUCAAGGUUUUUGGAAGAAAGAGCCACCAAGGGCAUCCCACUGGUAACCAUACUUUUUUUCUUUUUCUUUUUUUCCCUCUUAGGGCUCAGUGAAACCUCUAAUUUAGUAAUCACCUUACUGACCUCCCAGAAAAUCUGACCUAUGUUUACCAACCUGCUACUCAAUCUCAUGCUUGCACACUUCGAUCUUUUGCUUCUUUGCUGGUGAACAUUUUGGGCUGGCAAAGGCGGACAAGACCCCCAUGAGAUCCAAAACACAGUACAGAGAACCAAAACUGAU
rnacentral:lncRNA from 1 species